rnacentral:rRNA from 1 species
UACGUAGGUGGCAAGCGUUGUCCGGAAUUAUUGGGCGUAAAGCGCGCGCAGGCGGUCCUUUAAGUCUGAUGUGAAAGCCCACGGCUCAACCGUGGAGGGUCAUUGGAAACUGGGGGACUUGAGUGCAGAAGAGAAGAGUGGAAUUCCACGUGUAGCGGUGAAAUGCGUAGAGAUGUGGAGGAACACCAGUGGCGAAGGCGACUCUUUGGUCUGUAACUGACGCUGAGGCGCGAAAGCGUGGGGAGCAAACAGGAUUAGAAACCCUGGUAGU